rnacentral:rRNA from 1 species
AGUGGGGAAUAUUGGGCAAUGGGCGCAAGCCUGACCCAGCCAUGCCGCGUGAGUGAUGAAGGCCUUCGGGUCGUAAAGCUCUGUGGGAAGGGACGAAAAAAACCGACCUAAUACGUCGGGGCUUGACGGUACCUUCUUAGCAAGCACCGGCUAACUCCGUGCCAGCAGCCGCGGUAAUACGGAGGGUGCAAACGUUGCUCGGAAUUAUUGGGCGUAAAGCGCACGUAGGCGGUUCGUUAUGUCGGAUGUGAAAGCCCUCGGCUUAACCGAGGAAGUGCAUCCGAAACUGGCGAGCUUGAGUACGGAAGAGGGUCUCGGAAUUCCCGGUGUAGAGGUGAAAUUCGUAGAUAUCGGGAGGAACACCAGUGGCGAAGGCGGAGACCUGGGCCGAUACUGACGCUGAGGUGCGAAAGCGUGGGGAGCAAA